GAUGAACGCUAGCGGCAGGCCUAACACAUGCAAGUCGAGGGAGAAGCCCUUCGGGGCAGAAACCGGCGCACGGGUGCGUAACGCGUAUGCAACCUACCUUUCACAGGGGGAUAGCCCGAAGAAAUUUGGAUUAAUACCCCAUAAUAUUAUUGGAUGGCAUCAUUUGAUAAUUAAAAUUACGAUGGUGAAAGAUGGGCAUGCGUCCUAUUAGCUAGUUGGAGUGGUAACGGCACCCCAAGGCUACGAUAGGUAGGGGUCCUGAGAGGGAGAUCCCCCACACUGGUACUGAGACAGGGACCAGACUCCUACGGGAGGCAGCAGUGAGGAAUAUUGGUCAAUGGUCGGAAGACUGAACCAGCCAUGCCGCGUGCAGGAAGAAUGCCUUAUGGGUUGUAAACUGCUUUUAUAUGGGAAGAAUAAGGAGUACGUGUACUUGA
rnacentral:rRNA from 1 species